rnacentral:rRNA from 1 species
UACGAAGGGUGCAAGCGUUACUCGGAAUUACUGGGCGUAAAGCGUGCGUAGGUGGUUUGUUAAGUCUGCUGUGAAAGCCCCGGGCCCAACCUGGGAAUGGCAGUGGAUACUGGCAAGCUAGAGUGCGGUAGAGGGGUGUGGAAUUCCCGGUGUAGCGGUGAAAUGCGUAGAGAUCGGGAGGAACACCAGUGGCGAAGGCGGCACCCUGGACCAGCACUGACACUGAGGCGCGAAAGCGUGGGGAGCGAACAGG